rnacentral:rRNA from 1 species
AGUCGAGCGGAUUGAAGGGAGCUUGCUCCCUGCUAUUAGCGGCGGACGGGUGAGUAACACGUGGGCACCUGCCCUGCGCAUGGGGAUAACUCCGGUAAACCGGGGCUAAUACCGAAUAAUCGGUUCUUCCGCAUGGAAGAACUCUGAAAGACGGUUUCGGCUGUCACUGCUGGAUGGGCCCCCGCCGCAUUAGCUAGUUGGUGGGGUAAUCGCCUCCCUAGGCGCCGAU